CCGGCUCUGCCACCCUACCGCGCUCGCGUCUCCUCUGGCUCCUCUGCCUAAGGGCCCCUCGCCACCGCCACCAUGGACGCCAUCAAGAAGAAGAUGCAGAUGCUGAAGCUCGACAAAGAGAACGCCUUGGAUCGAGCAGAGCAGGCGGAGGCUGACAAGAAGGCUGCGGAAGACCGGAGCAAGCAGCUCGAGGAGGACAUCUCAGCAAAAGAGAAGCUGCUGCGGGCGUCGGAGGACGAGCGGGACCGGGUGCUGGAGGAGCUGCACAAGGCAGAGGACAGCCUGCUGGCUGCCGACGAGACCGCCGCCAAGGCUGAAGCUGACGUAGCAUCUCUGAACAGACGCAUCCAGCUGGUUGAGGAGGAGUUGGAUCGCGCUCAGGAGCGUCUGGCCACAGCUCUACAGAAGCUGGAGGAGGCUGAGAAGGCUGCAGAUGAGAGUGAGAGAGGCAUGAAAGUCAUUGAAAGCCGAGCCCAAAAAGAUGAAGAAAAGAUGGAGAUUCAGGAGAUCCAGCUGAAAGAGGCCAAGCACAUUGCUGAAGAUGCUGACCGAAAGUAUGAAGAGGUGGCCCGUAAGCUGGUCAUCAUCGAGAGCGAUCUGGAGCGUGCGGAGGAGAGGGCUGAGCUCUCGGAAGGCAAAUGUGCCGAGCUUGAAGAAGAGUUGAAAACGGUGACGAACAACUUGAAGUCACUGGAGGCUCAGGCUGAGAAGUACUCUCAGAAAGAAGACAAGUAUGAAGAGGAGAUCAAGGUUCUCUCUGACAAGCUGAAGGAGGCUGAGACCCGGGCUGAGUUUGCAGAGAGAUCAGUAACCAAAUUGGAGAAAAGCAUUGAUGACUUAGAAGACGAGCUGUAUGCUCAGAAACUGAAGUACAAGGCCAUCAGCGAGGAGCUGGACCACGCUCUCAACGAUAUGACUUCCAU
rnacentral:lncRNA from 1 species